CCUUUUCUGAACACUAUGCAAUCAGACGUUUAGGGACAAACACUAUAAGGUAUGGUUAUAGUUUGAAUGAAUCCAACUUACCUUUUGUUGACCAGUCGGUAAUCCAAGAAAUGAUAUUCAUCUUACAACAAAAUUCAGGAAGAACUUGUUCUUUCCACGCGGCGGAUCAGGUGGUGAUGGUGCUUUGGGAUUUGAUGAUGAACUUGAUUUAACUGUAAAGAAUAUGGUGUCAGAGGGAUCAAAUGUAUAAAACCAUGUUUUCUUCUUCUUCUUCUUUUUAAAUAAAAAAAUCAGUUAUCAGAAAAUUGCA